rnacentral:lncRNA from 10 species
CUUGCCUAUACUGAGUUUGAUCAUAGCUUAUGAUAGUGAAGAUUGUCUUUGAGAUAAAUUGCUUUUUGUUUUUGUCUAUCAGGAAAAGCAAACAACUUAAUUUUAGUUGUUAUAGAUGAGAGUCCUUGUAGUCAGGUCAUAAAUUCACUUUGUGAAAGAGAUGAAAAGUCAAAGAAUCCAGAGACACUGAAAGACAUGACCACGUUUUAUUUGUAAGGGGCACAGAUGCUCCAUGGGGAGAAAAAUAAUCUACUGAUAGGGUUCUCAAUUCCACACUCCAGAGUGGACACAUAAGUGUGUUUCUUCAAAAUGGGCAAUAGAAAGCAUCAUUUAUGGUAUUCUGAUUAUAUAUUUUCUACUGUUUACCUACUCCACCUGGCCCAGCCCUAAAUCUUCAUUGUGUUCUCCAAAUAUAUAAAUCAAGGAUUUGUGAGUGAGGUAGAGUAGAAAAUGAUGGCAUCUAUUGCCUUAUAAUAUGGUUUAGAUCUGUGUCCCUGUCCAGAUCUCACCUGGCCCAGCUUAAAUCCUCACUGUGUUCCCAAAAUAUAUAAAUCAAGGAUUUGUGAGUGAGGUGGAGUAGAAAAUGACUGACUCUAUUGCCAUAUAAUAUGGUUUGGAUUUGUGUCCCUGUCCAAAUCUCAUGUCAAAUUGUAAUCCCCACUUUUGGGGACUGGUGGGCGGUAACUGAUCAUGGAGGUGUUUCUCAUGUAUGGUUUAGCACCAUUCCCUUGGUGCUGUUCUUGUGAUAGUGAGUUCUCAUGAGAUCUGGUUGUUUAAAAGUGUGUAACACCUUCCGCCUUGCUCUCUUUCUGCUCCUGCUCCCACCAUGUGAGACCCCCUGACUUCCCCUUUGCCUUCUGCAAUGAUUGGAAGCUUCCUGAGGCCUCCCCAGCAGCAGAAGCCACAAU